rnacentral:rRNA from 2 species
GUCGACGCGUCUUGGUCAAUGAAGUUGAGUGCUUGCAUUUAACUGAUUUGACAUUAAGACGAGUGGCGAACUGGUGAGUAACACGUGGGUAACUUGCCCCGAAGCGGGGGAUAACAUUUGGAAACAGGUGCUAAUACCGCAUAACAACAAAAACCACAUGGUUUUUGUUUAAAAGAUGGUUUCGGCUAUCACUUUGGGAUGGACCCGCGGCGUAUUAGCUAGUUGGUGAGGUAAUGGCUCACCAAGGCAAUGAUACGUAGCCGACCUGAGAGGGUAAUCGGCCACAUUGGGACUGAGACACGGCCCAAACUCCUACGGGAGGCAGCAGUAGGGAAUCUUCCACAAUGGACGAAAGUCUGAUGGAGCAACGCCGCGUGAGUGAUGAAGGGUUUCGGCUCGUAAAACUCUGUUGUUGGAGAAGAACGGGUGUCAGAGUAACUGUUGACAUCGUGACGGUAUCCAACCAGAAAGCCACGGCUAACUACGUGCCAGCAGCCGCGGUAAUACGUAGGUGGCAAGCGUUGUCCGGAUUUAUUGGGCGUAAAGCGAGCGCAGGCGGUUUUUUAGGUCUGAUGUGAAAGCCUUCGGCUUAACCGGAGAAGUGCAUCGGAAACCGGGAGACUUGAGUGC